AUAUAACAUCAUAGCAGGUACAGAAUUGUUUCCUGUACAACUUGCAUUAAAAAAGUGCUCUUUGUUGAAUUCUUAGGGAUGUGAAAAUCUUAUUCGCGUGUAUUUGAACUCGGAAGGGUUAUGAUGACUAUAUAAUAAUCAGACAUAGUACGAUAAGGUAGUAUGUCAAAAGGGAAACAGCCCAGAACAAGAGUUAAUAAGGUUCCAAAAUUAUUGUUAAGUGAAAAUAAGGAAGUUUCAAUCAAAUAUGCCCAGGAGAUAGGCUUGGAUGCGGCCAUUUUUUGAAGACCUCGUAACAGAGCACUGGAUUAGUAAAUUAUUUUUAUAAUUAAUAUUGAUAAAAGCACCAAAAAUUUAACGGAUCUAAACAAUAUACCGAGACCUUGUCCAUAUUUAUAUAUAUAUCUAAGUUGUAUAUUGUAUUUAUGGGGUAGCGGAACAUUGGGCAAAUAUAAGAAUUUUUCUUUUUAAGACUUAAGAUAAUAUAACCCAAGCGAUAAUGCUGACAUGAGUAACGAUAAAGGGAAUAAACUAUUCCCUCGCCUAAAACUUAUGGUAUUUACUUAAAGUAACGGCCUCUAAGUUUAGAAACCUAAAGGACUAAACGAUGAGAAAAUCUACUACCUUCGAAUAAAUAACCUUUGUGAUGAGACUUAUGCGACUAAAGACGAAGUAGACGGUAAGCUUUUUUGCUAAAGUGACAAGGUUCUGGAAAAUUUAAGUAGUGCAUCAUGGAUAAUAGGCAGGAGGCAAUCUCCUGCCUACCGAAGGCCUUCGGUACCGAAGGCCAUGGGAAAAAGACCGUACCUAGAAACUACCCCCAGUAAGUUAGAAGAGAUAGAAGGGCGUUUGAGUGACAAUCAUUAAGGAACUCGG
rnacentral:rRNA from 1 species